rnacentral:rRNA from 1 species
AUGGAUGACACGAACAUGCCGAUCAUGAGCUGGAACGUGAGAGGUCUCAACACACCGGCGGGACGCUCGGUCAUCAGAGACACUGCACACGCCCACAAGCUGGCAAUCCUCUGCAUCCAGGAAACCAAAAUUGACUGCUGGUCCACUAGCUUAGCAAGAGAAAUAGGUGGCACAUGGCUUGACCAAUGCAUUGUUCUUCCAGCCAUUGGAACGAGGGGAGGGGCGGCCAUUUUUUGGAACUCUAGCAUGCUGUCUGUGCAGUCUCACUCGAUAGGGCAGUUCUCUAUCACAGCUAGGGUGCAAACAGGCGAGUUAGGCAAAGAUUUUUGGUUAACUACGGUCUACGGGCCUUCGGAUAAGGAUAGAAAAGAUGAUUUUCUCGAGGAAUUGACUAGAGUUGCUCCCCCACCUGGACAAGCUUGGCUCAUCAACGGCGAUUUCAACAUUAUAUACGAGGCUAGAGACAAGAAUAACAUCAACAUCAACCGUAGGAUCAUGGGUAAAUUUAGAGCGGCAAUCGACGCGGGUGGCCUCCGUGAGAUCAAAUGC